GAAAUCUGACGCCACGCCGGCGUCCGAGUUGUAAUUUGGAGAGGCAUCUUCAGGAGGGGGCCCGGCCUAUGUCCCUUGGAACAGGGCGUCGCAGAGGGUGAGAAUCCCGUCCUUGGCCGGACCGUCCCUCUGGCUCGAAGUGCCUUCUACGAGUCGAGUUGUUUGGGAAUGCAGCUCAAAAUGGGUGGUAAAUUUCAUCUAAAGCUAAAUACGGGCGAGAGACCGAUAGCGCACAAGUAGAGUGAUCGAAAGAUGAAAAGCACUUUGAAAAUAGAGUCAAACAGCACGUGAAAUUGUUGAAAGGGAAGCGCUUGAGACCAGACUCGGCCAUUGACUAACAGCUGUCCUUGUGGGCGGUGCACUUGUCCUUGGCCGGGCCAGCAUCGGUUGGGACGGCGGGACAAAGGCCCGGGGAAUGUGACUCCCUCGUGGAGUGUUAUAGCCCCUGGCGAAAUGCCGCCCGUCC
rnacentral:rRNA from 1 species